CUAUUACAGUUCUUCGGUAUGCGAUUGACUCCAUGGCAAGGCUAUCUGGGGUAAGUCCAUUCGUGCAUUUAAACCUCCCGAACGGCCGGUGUUCGCACACUUCUGUCGAUUGAGAAGGGAGGUCGACGGCUUCAGCGGUGUUCGGUUGAAAAAGUGUCCGUUUUCAGUUCCAUGAAGUCAAUGCCGAACACCGCUGGUCUCUCGCAUGGCUUAAAAUGGCCGCCGCCUUGUGGUCAACAUACGAACGACGACCACCCUGUAUUCGGUCUUAAUUGAGAAG